rnacentral:tRNA from 1 species
GCAGGUGUAGCUCAGUGGUAAAGUGCUCACCUAGCAUGUAUGAGGCUCUGGGUUCGAUUCCCCAGUACUGCA